GACGAACGCUGGCGGCGUGCUUAACACAUGCAAGUCGAACGGAAAGGCCCUGCUUUUGUGGGGUGCUCGAGUGGCGAACGGGUGAGUAACACGUGAGUAACCUGCCCUUGACUUUGGGAUAACUUCAGGAAACUGGGGCUAAUACCGGAUAGGAGCUCCUGCUGCAUGGUGGGGGUUGGAAAGUUUCGGCGGUUGGGGAUGGACUCGCGGCUUAUCAGCUUGUUGGUGGGGUAGUGGCUUACCAAGGCUUUGACGGGUAGCCGGCCUGAGAGGGUGACCGGCCACAUUGGGACUAAGAUACGGCCCAGACUCCUACGGGAGGCAGCAGUGGGGAAUAUUACACAAUGGGCGGAAGCCUGAUGCAGCAACGCCGCGUGCGGGAUGACGGCCUUCGGGUUGUAAACCGCUUUCGCCUGUGACGAAGCGUGAGUGACGGUAAUGGGUAAAGAAGCACCGGCUAACUACGUG
rnacentral:rRNA from 1 species